CACGUGGGUAACCUGCCUUAUAGUGGGGGAUAGCCUUUCGAAAGGAAGAUUAAUACCGCAUAAGAUUGUAGUAUCGCAUGAUAUAGCAAUUAAAGGAGCAAUCCGCUAUAAGAUGGACCCGCGUCGCAUUAGCUAGUUGGUGAGGUAAUGGCUCACCAAGGCGACGAUGCGUAGCCGACCUGAGAGGGUGAUCGGCCACAUUGGGACUGAGACACGGUCCAGACUCCUACGGGAGGCAGCAUG
rnacentral:rRNA from 1 species